rnacentral:rRNA from 1 species
AUUGAACGCUGGCGGCAGGCUUAACACAUGCAAGUCGAGCGAGCGGCGGACGGGUGAGUAAUGUCUGGGACACUGCCUGAUGGAGGGGGAUAACUACUGGAAAGGGUCGCUAAUACCGCAUACCCUCAGAUAUGCCCAUAUGGGAUUGGCUAGUGGGUGGGGUAAUGGCUCACCUAGGCGACGAUCCCUAGCUGGUCUGAGAGGAUGACCAGCCACACUGGGACUGAGACACGGCCCAGACUCCUACGGGAGGCAGCAGUGGGGAAUAUUGCACAAUGGGCGCAAGCCUGAUGCAGCCAUGCCGCGUGUGUGAAGAAGGCCUUCGGGUUGUAAAGCACUUUCAGCGAGGAGGCGUUACUCGCAGAAGAAGCACCGGCUAACUCCGUGCCAGCAGCCGCGGUAAUAC